rnacentral:lncRNA from 1 species
AUGGGUCCCUAUGGGGUUUCAAUGGGGCCUCUUUGGGUUUCUAUGGGGUCCCUAUGUCUUCCUAUGGGUCCCUAUGGGUCCCUAUGGGUCCCAAUGUCUCUCAAUGUCUCUCUAUGGGUCCCAAUGUCUCCCUAUGUGUCCCUAUAUCUCCCUAUGGGUCCCAAUGUCUCUCUAUGUGUCCCUAUGGGUCCCUAUAUGUCCCUAUGUGUCUCUAUGGGGUCCCUAUGUGUCCCUAUGUGGGGCUGGUUAUGGGGCUGGUUAUGGGGUCAGUUCUGGGGCUGGUUAUGGGGCUGGUUAUGGGGCUGGUUAUGGGUCAUUUAUGGGGCUGGUUAUGGGUCAGUUAUGGGGCUGGUUAUGGGUCAGUUAUGGGUCAGUUAUGGGGCUGGCUAUGGGGUCAGUUAUGGGGCUGGUUAUGGGGCUGGUUAUGGGGCUGGUUAUGGGGUUGGUUAUGGGGCUGGUUAUGGGGUCAGUUAUGGGGCUGGUUAUGGGUUCGGUUAUGGGGCGGUUAUGGGGCUGGUUAUAGGGUCACUUAUGGGGUGGUUAUGGGGCUGGUUAUGGGGCUGGUUAUGGGACGGUUAUGGGGCUGUUUAUGGGGUCAGUUAUGGGGCUGGUUAUGGGUUCGGUUAUGGGUCAGUUAUGGGGCUGGUUAUGGGGUCAAUUAUGGGGUCAAUUGUGAAGCUGGUUAUGGGGCUGAUUAUGGGGAUGGUUAUGGGGCUGGUUAUGGGGCUGGUUAUGGGGUCAGUUAUGGGGCUGGUUAUGGGUCAGUUAUGGGGUCACUUAUGGAGCUGGUUAUGGGUCAGUUAUGGGGUCACUUAUGGAGCUGGUUAUGGGGCUGGAUAUGGGGCCGGUUAUGGGGCAGGCUAUGGGGCAGGCACUCAUCUUCAGGUUUGGGGCGGUUAUGGGGUGGUUAUGGGGUCAGUUAUGGGGCUGGUUAUGGGGCUGGAUAUGGGGCCGGUUAUGGGGUCGGUUAUGGGGCUGGUUAUGGGGUUGGUUAUGGGGUCAGUUAUGGGGCUGGUUAUGGGUCAGUUAUGGGUCAGUUAUGGGGCUGGUUAUGGGGCUGGUUAUGGGGUCAGUUAUGGGGCUGGUUAUGAGAUAGUUAUGGGGAUGGUUAUGGGGUCAGUUAUGGGGCUGGUUAUGGGUCAGUUAUGGGUCAGUUAUGGGGCUGGUUAUGGGNGUUAUGGGUCAGUUAUGGGGCUGGUUAUGGGUCAGUUAUGGGUCAGUUAUGGGGCUGGUUAUGGGGUUUCCGUUCCAACUUCCUGUUUCGGUUCCCGCAGCUCCCGCCCGGUGGUGUCGGUGUCGGCCAUCUUGUCGGUUCCGGUUCGUCGCCUCCCCCACUCGUGGGGUCGAUGUGGGGCAGGAGGCGUCGCCGUGGGGCUGCGGCUCUGCUUCCAAACCGAGCUCAGCAGCAACACGUACCGAGGUCGCCUCCUCGUCCCCAUCCAUUUCCUCUUCCGGGUCGACUCUCAGCGCCAUUGGCCACGUGGUCAAUUCACUUCCGGGUCAACCACGUGGGAGGACCGGAUGUUGUUGGAAGGGGGAGAGCGGUGCGUCAACAACACGGUCCUCCUGCAGCCGUGCCCCGAGGACUCGCUGACCCCAAUGAGGCUGGCCGUCAAUUACUCCCUGGACCCCGAAUACCCCACAGACCCCACAGACGACCCCAUUGCCGUCAUAGACCCCAUAACCAACUCGGCCUGGAUUGAGGUGCCGUACGAGCAGCGCUGCGGCUCGGCCGGGCUGUGUGACCCGAUGUGA